GUCAGACAGCAGAAGAUGUGAAAAUUUGGUUUGUAACACUAUCCUGGAUCAUUCUGGUGACAUGAGCUCCCUCACAUUGUGCUUCUGACGCAAAGGAACCAAGCCGUGCCAUGGACAUACCUCUACAGCAAUGUGUGAUGAGGAACCAGUGCCAGGUGCCAGUUAACCAGCAUGCCUAUCAGUAUCUUUGAAGGUCACUGCAGAGGCCUCAAGCCCCUCUGGCAACCAGAGAUCCAGGGACAAGGGAGAUGAGCUCUUCCAAGGCAAGUGAUCAUCUAUCUCUUCAGCAGCUUGAGGACUCCUGUUCCUAAAACCUGAGGAACUGGCUCAGGUGUGUCUUGGCCCUUCUUAACAGAAGAUCAAGAUACAACACUGAGUGAGUUUUAAAGCUGAGGUAAUUUGUAGUGACUCCACUGACAUAUGGUUGGAUGGUCACUAAACAGAGGUAAUUAAAAACAAUGGUGCACUGAAUCAAAAAUCUGCUGGUUUAUUUCCAAAUCUUUCAGUUUGGGCAUCACCCGGUGUAUGAGCUGAAGAGCUGAGGUGAGAUCCCAGCUGGCACCUCCAAUGGAAGCAUUGAGGACAAGCCUGUGCACCCUUGUGGCAUGGUGUGCCCUUCUUUGCUGUUAGCCUAGCUGGCCCAGUGGAACUGCUCAUGCCAGUGUAAUCAUGAUUUAAUCAUAUUAAUAGUGCUGACAGAUUGUGUGGCACAAAAGACAAAAAAUGUAUGAAAAAUACCCUUUCUGACAAGCAUUUCAUUUUCUGUACAAAAAAUUACAACCUCUUGUGAAUUUUAAACUAC
rnacentral:lncRNA from 1 species